rnacentral:rRNA from 1 species
AUUGAACGCUGGCGGCAGGCCUAACACAUGCAAGUCGAGCGGUAGAGAGAAGCUUGCUUCUCUUGAGAGCGGCGGACGGGUGAGUAAUGCCUAGGAAUCUGCCUGAUAGUGGGGGAUAACGUCCGGAAACGGACGCUAAUACCGCAUACGUCCUACGGGAGAAAGUGGGGGCUCUUCGGACCUCACGCUAUCAGAUGAGCCUAGGUCGGAUUAGCUAGUUGGUGAGGUAAUGGCUCACCAAGGCGACGAUCCGUAACUGGUCUGAGAGGAGGAUCAGUCACACUGGAACUGAGACACGGUCCAGACUCCUACGGGAGGCAGCAGUGGGGAAUAUUGGACAAUGGGCGAAAGCCUGAUCCAGCCAUGCCGCGUGUGUGAAGAAGGUCUUCGGAUUGUAAAGCACUUUAAGUUGGGAGGAAGGGUCGUUACCUAAUACGUGGCGAUUUUGACGUUACCGACAGAAUAAGCACCGGCUAACUCUGUGCCAGCAGCCGCCGUAAGAC